rnacentral:rRNA from 1 species
UCUGCACCUGAAAUCAAGCAAGACCACCCGCUGAACUUAAGCAUAUCAGUAAGCGGAGGAAAAGAAACUAACAAGGAUUGCCUCAGUAGUGGCGAACGAAGCGGCAAAAGCUCAAAAUGAAAAUCCGCGGUCGAAAGGUCGUGGAGUUGUAAAUUAUAGAAUCAUGCAGAAACGUAGACGGUCGCAUAAGCCUCUGGAAAGUGGCGCCAAAGAGGGUGAUAGCCCCGUACUCGGCGAUCAGUCUGGUGUAUGCAUGGUUUCGAAGAGUCGUGCUGAUUGGGAUUUCAGCACAAAUUGGGAGAUAAACUUCUUCUAAAGCUAAAUAUUUAUGGGAAACCGAUAGCGAACAAGUACUGCGAAGGAAAGAUGAAAAGAACUUUGAAAAGAAGGUUAAAAGACUUGAAAUCGUUGAAAAGGAAGCGGUAGGAGAAAUGCAUUGGUGUGGCGUUUGCUGUCUUGCGGUUUGCUGCGUGUCGUAAGUACUUAAUCGGCUUGCGGUGCGUAAACAGGCUACAAAGCGGCUUUUUCACAUCAUAAGUCAAGAUGAGGUCUGGUUCUGUGAAUACCUUCGCUGGAUGAAUGACAGUGUCGAAAGACAGAACCGGGCCUGAGGGUGCAAUGCGAUCUUGGCGAAACAGCUUCUACUGACCCGUCUUGAAACACGGACCAAGGAGUCUAA